AACUUUGCGCAGAGGCAAUAUCGUAACCAAUGAGGUUUAUCCGAGGUGCGAUUAUUGCUAGUUGAAAACUUAAAUGUUUUCUAGACCCAAAAAACAAUGUUUUUACAAGUCAUGUCAGUUUCAAGUUUGGAACGUCGCGUCACG